CCUACGUGAGGCAGCAGUGAGGAAUAUUGGUCAAUGGACGAGAGUCUGACCCAGCCAAGUCGCGUGAAGGAUGACUGCCCUAUGGGUUGUAAACUUCUUUUAUAUGGGAAUAAAAUGUUCCACGUGUGGGAUUUUGUAUGUACCAUAUGAAUAAGGAUCGGCUAACUCCGUGCCAGCAGCAGCGGUAAUACGGAGGAUCCGAGAGUUAUACGGCUUUAUUGGGUUUAAAGGGAGCGUAGGUGGAUUGUUCAGUCAGUUGUGAAAGUUUGCGGCUCAACCGUAAAAUUGCAGUUGAAACUGGCAGUCUUGAGUACAGUAGAGGUGGGCGGAAUUCGUGGUGUAGCGGGGAAAUGCUUAGAUAUCACGAAGAACACCGAUGGCGAAGGCAGCUCACUGGACUGCAACUGACACUGAGGCUCGAAAGUGUGGGUAUCAAACAGGAUUAGAUACCCUGGUAGUC
rnacentral:rRNA from 1 species